GAUGAACGCUGGCGGCGUGCCUAAUACAUGCAAGUCGAGCGAACAGACGAGGAGCUUGCUCCUCUGACGUUAGCGGCGGACGGGUGAGUAACACGUGGAUAACCUACCUAUAAGACUGGGAUAACUUCGGGAAACCGGAGCUAAUACCGGAUAAUAUAUUGAACCGCAUGGUUCAAUAGUGAAAGACGGUUUUGCUGUCACUUAUAGAUGGAUCCGCGCCGCAUUAGCUAGUUGGUAAGGUAACGGCUUACCAAGGCGACGAUGCGUAGCCGACCUGAGAGGGUGAUCGGCCAAAAUGGAACUGAGACACGGUCCAGACUCCUACGGGAGGCAGCAGUAGGGAAUCUUCCGCAAUGGGCGAAAGCUUGACGGAGCAACGCCGCGUGAGUGAUGAAGGUCUUCGGAUCGUAAAACUCUGUUAUUAGGGAAGAACAAAUGUGUAAGUAACUAUGCACGUCUUGACGGUACCUAAUCAGAAAGCCACGGCUAACUACGUG
rnacentral:rRNA from 1 species